UUCCAUUUCGUGCAUCAUCGAUCGAUCGCUCGAAUCGCGUCGAGCAGGUUGAGAUUCCAUGGAGGAUCGGGGCUUGGAGGUAGAGAAGGCUCGGUUGCUGAACUUGGCUCUCGAGUUCGGCUUCGACGAGCAGUUCGCCAGCAAGUGCUUGGACCGUCUCGUUUCGCUCUACGCGAUGAAGGUUGAGAGUUUAUCACUGUGGAGCACUUUGUGGGGAUGAUUUUCUAGCAGAACUUGCCAAAACUAUGCAAGACACUGAGGAUUGGGAUGAUUUGCAAGCUGUGGAAUCAGAGGUUUGUGGAGUUUUGACCGAUGUGUUUGGCCAAGAUAACCCUAAUGUUGGCGGAUGCAAUGUUGUGCACAAUAUUAAUAUUAUAGAAGAUUUUCCACAACCUGAGAAAAAUCAGACGUUUUUUGAGGUGGAUUCCUUUACUGACAGUGAAGAGGAAGAUGAUAUAUUUGGCAGUAAAAUGGGCAGGAAACCCACAUGCUAUAUUCCUGAUCAAAGCAGUACUCUGAGCAAUUCAUCCACUCAACUUCUGGCCAGACAAUCUUUAGAAUCCAUGGUAUGUUUCUAAAACUGUGAAUUUGUCUCACUCCUUUCUGCCCCCACCCCCAUGCCCAAAGCCAAUUUGGUCAAUAGUUGUUAAGUUUGUGGCUUGAGUUUUUGAUUCAUUUGGCUUGGGAUUGGCCCGUGUAAUUGCAUGGACCAAAUAUGCGGCUUGAAGAAUGUCUCAGUAUCGUACAGGGUUGGCCUUUCGGUGAAGCAACUGUGGACACCUGAAGAGGCCACAAUAGUUACUGGGAAAAUCCCAGGAGUCUGGCCACAAUGGUCUAGUUGUUUAGGAGGUUGACAAAAAGUUGGCAGAUCUGGGCACGACUUUUUGUUCUUUUAACAAUGAUUCUGCAACCCAUAUAUCCAUUUAUUUUUGUUGCUGAGGUGUAUUGGGGUCGACAAGGAUAAUGAGAAGAAUUGAGAACAGACUGUCUUGGUUUUUGAUCGGGAGAGAUUAGAGAGUCCUUCUCAUAAAACUCUUGGGAAACGCUUUCCACUCGUCUCAUUUGUUUUUGAUUGACUCUCACAACUGGGGUUUUGGUUAGUGAGAAAUUGAUUAUAACUUAUUGUAAUUCCCUCUUGGUCAUUGUGAAACAACUCCUAUUGACGUAGAUGAAACUGCACAUCCCCAAAAAUUAGUGUCACUGUUCUUUGCUGUAAAAAAUAUGUCUUUCCUUGAUCAUGUGCAGUUUGCUUGUACUUCUGCUCCCAGCAAAGGACCUUAUGCGAGGUACCUGUACAUAAGCAUUUAAUAAAUUGCUUACGAGGGCUCUGAUGCGAUCAAAUGUAUAGUAGACACUCCUAACUUGCCAGUUACUUCCAGUCUUUAAGAUCUAAAAUGACUUUAUUAGAACUGUUUGGUCAAUAAAAACAGUUGACUUUUGUUUUGGAUGAUGUAACACUACCUAUAUUUCCAUACGUCCCAGUGAUGGCCUUAACUGCAACUGCCACUCGGCCAGUUCAUGAGGAUAUCCUAAAAGUUCUCGGGAUCCACCAUGCUUUUGCUCUAGAGACAAGCUUUGACAGACCAAACCAAAAAUAUGAGGUCAUAGCUAAGACCAAGGAACAACUGAAGCAUCUUGGAGAGCUGCUAAAGAAUCGGUUUGCUAAUUUGCGUGGCAGUGUAUUGUCUCUCGAAGAGCAAAUGUGUUGAUGUUGCAAAAUACCUGAAUGAUUAGUGCGGUAUAAAGACAAUGCACUAUCAUGCUGGAUUAGCAACCCAUCAAAGAGUAGCUAUUCAAAUGAAAUGGCAUACUGGAGAGGUCCAGGUUGCAUGUGUAGCCAUUGCUUUAGGGAUGGGAAUAGACAAACCUGAUGUUUGUUUUUUCAUCCACAACACAAUGUCCAUGUCAAUCGAAAGCUAUUACAAAGAAUCAGGGAGGGCAGGAAGAGAUAAUCUACCAGCAGUGUGCAUUGCUCUGUAUGCCAAAAAGGAUUUCUGCCGGGUUGUGUGCAUGUUAAGGAGUGAUCAACGAUGUAAAACCGAAAUCUUUAAAAGUGCAAUGGCUCAAGCUAGGAAAAUGCAGCAAUAUUGUGAACCCAAGGAUGAUUUUUCAGCGGCAAACCUUACUUGCACACUUUGGCAAGUCUUUGAAUCAGAAAGACUAAAUACAGCUCUAAUCCUUGUGACAAUUGUCUCAAAGCCUCUUCAUAGAGGUACUCGUUUCAGGUGUCAACUCUCUUGAGGGCGAAAGGAGGUACCAACUUACGCAUGAUCUUGAGCCUCACAGUUCUUCUGGUUCCGUCAUCCGCAAUUAUUGGAAGACUACAUGGUAAUGGAGGGGCAGAGGUCCUUAACUAUGGACACAGAAUUUCUCAGUUCCGAUGGUUCAAUCGGACGAUUCUACCAAUUGACCUUUAGACUAGAACCCAAACCGGUUCUUUGACUGGUCCGGGUUUGGAAGCGCUGCUUGACACGAUUGCAAGACCUGAUUAUUAUAUGUGAACAAAAAUUGCCAGCUCUCACAGCGAUAACGUUGUGAUAACGUGGAGGGUUGAGCGGCACUAACUUGGCGGAGAUAUGGGUCUCGCUUGAUGCUGACAAUAUCUUCCUGAGGAUGAUGCAAGGUCGGGCAGUGGCGUUGACUUGUCGGUGAGUGGCGCUGACUUGUCCGAUGAGCGGUUCGUUGACAAAUGAGGGUCGAAGCGCGGCAGGGUAUGAUGGCACGGAUUGGACGAGUUUGUGUUGUCCCGGCUUGUGAAGCUUUCGUCCAUGGUGGAGUUGGGUCGCGGUGGGCGUCAAUUCGGCAGCGUGAUUCUCAGAUUCAAAGUCUUUUGGAGUAGAUGGCUGCGGAGGCUGUAUCAACGGCGAUGCGAGUUUUGAAAUGCUUGCGAGAGAUGAAUGAACUGAAGGCCUUUUGUACAUAACCAGAAUGUCUAAUACAAGUACGGGUGAUCAAUUAUGUAGACCCCAAACUGAUAUAGAGAUACACAAUAUUAUGAAUGUAGACAUAAUAUGACCAUCUACAAGAUA